UACGUAGGGGGCUAGCGUUGCUCGGAAUUACUGGGCGUAAAGGGCGCGCAGGCGGCUCCGCAGGUCGGUUGUGAAAGCCUUGGGCUUAACCCAAGAAUUGCGCUUGAUACUGAUAAGCUAGAGGAUGAUAGAGGAAAGCGGAAUUCCUAGUGUAGAGGUGAAAUUCGUAGAUAUUAGGAAGAACACCAGAGGCGAAGGCGGCUUUCUGGAUCAUAUCUGACGCUGAGGCGCGAAAGCGUGGGGAGCAAACAGG
rnacentral:rRNA from 1 species